rnacentral:misc_RNA from 1 species
UCCUGGUUAACCCAGGCAGUCUCGUUAGAGUUCCCACCAUUACGUGUUGGCAACUAACGAUAAGGGUUGCGCUCGUUGCUGGACUUAACCAAACACCUCACGGCACGAGCUGACGACAGCCAUGCAGCACCUGUGCAGCGGCCCCGAAGGGAGACGGCAUCUCUGCCGCUGUCCACUGCAUGUCAAGUCUGGGUAAGGUUCUUCGCGUUGCAUCGAAUUAAACCACAUGCUCCACUGCUUGUGCGGGUCCCCGUCAAUUCUUUUGAGUUUCACCCUUGCGAGUGUACUCCCCAGGCGGUAUACUUAACGCGUUCGCUACGGCACAGCCAGGGUUGAGUCCGGCUACACCUAGUAUACAUAGUUUACGGCAAGGACUAC